rnacentral:rRNA from 1 species
UGGGGAAUCUUCCGCAAUGGACGGAAGUCUGACGGAGCAACGCCGCGUGAGUGAUGACGGCCUUCGGGUUGUAAAGCUCUGUUAAUCGGGACGAAAGGUCCUCUUGCGUAUAGUUAGAGGAAUUGACGGUACCGGAAUAGAAAGCCACGGUUAACUACGUGCCAGCAGCCGCGGUAAUACGUAGGUGGCAAGCGUUGUCCGGAAUUAUUGGGCGUAAAGCGCGCGCAGGCGGAUCAGUCAGUCUGUCUUAAAAGUUCGGGGCUUAACCCCGUGAUGGGAUGGAAACUGCUGAUCUAGAGUAUCGGAGAGGAAAGUGGAAUUCCUAGUGUAGCGGUGAAAUGCGUAGAUAUUAGGAAGAACACCAGUGGCGAAGGCGACUUUCUGGACGAGAACUGACGCUGAGGCGCGAAAGCCAGGGGAGCGAACGGGAUUAGAUACCCCGGUAGUCCUGGCCGUAAACGAUGGGUACUAGGUGUAGGAGGUAUCGACCCCUUCUGUGCCGGAGUUAACGCAAUAAGUACCCCGCCUGGGGAGUACGACCGCAAGGUUG